UCUGGAUCGAUCACCAUCCUCAUAAUGAUUCUAUGACCGAGAGAUUUAGGAAGUAAAUACAUGUCUCUAAUUUUCAACACUUUGAGAAUAUGUAUCGAAAAUUAAUUCCAUGGAUAAUUCAAGGACACAUCACACUUGAAUGAAAAAUAAAUUUAUCUUUUUAUUGAUCAAAUCAAUAUAUAAAGUACAAAAUUGUGUCUCAAAUUUAUUAC
rnacentral:lncRNA from 1 species